rnacentral:rRNA from 1 species
AACGAACGUUAGCGGCGCGCCUAACACAUGCAAGUCGCACGAGAAAGGGCUUCGGCCCCGGUAAAGUGGCGCACGGGUGAGUAACACGUGGGUAAUCUGCCCUCGAGCAGGGGAUAACGG